rnacentral:lncRNA from 1 species
AUGGAAACUGUUAUGGCCGCCAACAGCGACUGGCUGGGCUAUGGAGCGGGGCGAGGUAACUCCGCGAGGGGCGCUGGGUGGGGGGUGCGGGAUGCGGCGGCCUGGCGCCGGCCAGGACCGGGCAGGAGGUGCGAGCGGCCGCGGGACUGGAAGCCGCCGUGUGGUAGGGCCGAGCCGUUAAAUAGUCCCGCGCCCCCCCUGCCCCCUCCGGCCGCGGGAGGUUGGCGGGGCGGCCGGGGCCGGCGGCGGGGCGGCGAGCGGCCCGGAGUCAGGCUGCACGCGGGGAGCGGCCGAGAGUAUCUCAUGUCCGGCUCCGAGCCCUUCCGUGGCGCCGUAUCCUUCCGCUGCCCUACGCGGGCCCCGGCGCGGCGUCGCGGGAAGUGCGCAGCCCUCCGGGGCCGGGUGGGCGCCCCGUGGCGGGCGGGGUGGGGGCAGCGUCGCUCGGCGGGGCCGCCCGAGGAGAUGGGUGGCUGCCGAGGAGGAGCUGGGAAGGAGAGGUGUCCUUACUCGCCCCCGCCCCCAUUUCGGGCAGCGCUCGGUGCUGCCGCCGCGGUGUGGCGGAGCCCGCGGCGCGGCUCUGAGGUGGGGGCGGCCCCGGGGCUUACGCCGAACCCUGCCGGAUCGGCCUCGGCCACCGCUUGGUGUUCUGUCCCUGCUUCUCCCUGCCUGCUCGUCCCGGGAACGAGGGGACGGGCCGCGCCGUGGCCCCGCUCUGCAGCGAGCCCCGUCACGCUCCCGGUGGAGUCGCUGCCGUUACCGGCGGGGGCGGGGGGCCCNNNNNNNNNNGGGUGCAGGUGCGUUGUGUGGCUGCGUGUCACCGGGGCUUGGAGCCGCUGCUUUCCUAAAGUGCAAGUUUGCUGUGGGGUGUCUGUUAGCUUUGAGAGCGAUUUAGUAACUUCUGUUUCUUUUGUAUUUAAUUUUACAAAAGCAGCGUUUUUCGGUGUCAGGCUCUGUCUGAGCACCGGGCUCCGUGGGUUCCUGAGGUUGUGGUUCUGUGCCCAGGGCUCUCAGAGCUGCAGGCACCACUCUGAGUGCUCACACACGUGUAGCAUGUGA